AGCAGCAGCAGCAGCAGCAGCAGCAGCAGCAGCAGCAGCAGCAGCAGCAGCAGCAGCAGCAGGGUUCCUGAGCUAACUCAGGUGAGUAGAGCAUGCGCCCACAAAUUUAGUUUACAGUUUUAUUUUCAGAGCAAAGGAACUUAAGCUGUAAAGUUAAACAAACUUUGCACCUAUUAAUGUUAGGGUUCGUCUGGAUAGAAUUGUGUACACGUUUACGCUAAUAGCCGUUUUGAAACAUCUAAAAUGAGUUGGAAUCUGGGGGGCUCAACGCAGUGAUUUUGAUGGUUUUGCGCUAAACGGUUUCUGGGAGCGAGCUGGUCCGUUUUUCUGUGAAUGUUCUGUUCGUAAACACUUGGUCAACAAGAACAAACCUGGGAGAAGAGUGUGAAGAGAGAAGCUGGCUGGCUAACUGCUUCAUCUAUUUUCCUUGGAUGCAGAGUGAUAGGCAAAGUCUUGAAAUUCAGGCACAAUCACGGAGCCACACUCCGUGCCUACAUUCUGUAAGAGUUUGAAAUUGUGUGCACAGGCCACUGGCUGCUACACAAUGAAGGAGUGGCUGCCUAAGCUAUCUUAACACCCUGUCUGCACAGCCUCGGGACCUUCCUGCCCGGGUGACAGGUUGAUCUUGCUAUUCUGUUAUCAGUUCCUGGGCCUGGUUUGGUUUCCCUCUGAUUCUAUCUUUGGUUUAAAUUCUGAAUUGCAGUGAAGGCCCCAUCCCCCACUCCACCCCACUCCACUUUUGUUGGGGCUUAACUGGAGACUUGACCAGAGCUGGCUUCAGCCAGGGUCAGGAAAAGGGAACUGCCACGCAUUGCAAUGGAAACAAGUGGGUGUGAGAAUUUAGAAAAAAGUUUGGUAAAAAUCACAUUGGAAAAUGCUGAUUGUUCUGCCUGUCACAGCAAAAUGCUUCAUGCUUUGUAUUAUAUUUUUAUUAAACUUCAGCAAAUGAUUCAUUUGCUCAUCUCUGUUGUGGAAUUAAGAUCUCUCUUUAUGGCCUGAAUGAAUAAACAAAAAUUUGGGGGUGUUACUAAUUAACAACUUCCUCGUGUGUUUCUGUGCAUGCUCGCCCCCUCUCUUGCUCGUGUGUGUGUGUGUGUGUGUGUGUGUGUGUGUGUGUGUGUGUGUGUUCACACAGGCAAGCAGGAACGCAUGCACAUAUACUUGUGCAUAUACUUAUGCACUCAUGUGCUUGGGUAUACACAAAGGGGCGAGUAUUUUGUACUUGAGCAGCAUUCUUUAUUCGUUGUGAGAGUUUCCAAUGGUCCAGGGAACAGCUUAAAGGCUUACAUGGUCAGGAAUAGGUUAAAAAGCAGACUUUCUAUAUCCUUGCAAAUUUUCCGUUCCUAAAUUUAAAAGCAGAAAACAGCUCCAUUGUGACCCCAAAAGUUUCUUUGGUUAGCCUUGAUUUCAAAUCAUAUCACCUUCUGACAGUUUGCAAUUCAAAUGUAAGACUUCUAUGUACAUUGUUGCAAAAAGAGAACAAUAUAUUUUUGUUCUUUCUGUCUGCAUGCUGCCCUUCUUCUCACAGUUCUUCUUUUUUGUUUCAAAAUAUACUUUUGGAGAAAGCAUCAAUAGGUCCCCAUUCUAGUACCAACUCUCUUACUAUGUAACCCUGGCAAAGUCUCUUCACAUUACAGUGAAAAAUGUGUAUUAACUGAUUUCUAAGAGUUCUUCCAGAAAAAAAAAUUCUAUAAAAAUUCGCAUUAGAUUCUCAAAGGACUGUAAAACUAGAUUUUUAGGAUAAGUUUAGUCAACCAAAUCAGCAAGUCAGCCAAAAAUGGAAGGUGGAGUGGGGAGUAAGGAAUGGCCAUUUUAUAUAGGUCUUUUAAAUGUCAGUGUGUGUCUUAUUUUAAGCAUGUGAUCAUAUUUCCUCUGUUUCUACAAAGAAAUGAGAUUUUAUUUGCUAAAAUUAAACAUUUCCUAAUAUAACUGCUAAUGUUAACUUAUUCUUAACAAUCAAAAGUACGCUCACAUACUUCAUUAACUUCAUUAGCUUUUCCAAAUAACACCCCGAGAUGGGCAGGGAAGCCAUCAUCUUCCUGUUGUGCCUAUGGGGAAACUGAGGGUGAAAGAUGUUACUGCAAUAACGGUUGUGAACCUCCUGACUGAAAAUGUUCUGUUUAUGAUUUUUGAAGUGUCUUUUACUUCUUGAUGUAGUUUUUCAACACUGUCUGUGGUGUGCUCUUUCUUCUUUGAACACAGUCCUCUCUCUGGACAGAGUAAAUAUAUCCUAUGGAAAACAGAAGAGUUGAUUAGGGAACUCUGAAGGCUCCUUUCUGAUCCCAGAGUGUCUGGCCAACAAAACCUUGAAUGUCAACAGCCACUUCAGAGUGCUCUGGCAGAUAUGUGACCACAGAUGGAAGAUAAGAUUCCCCUUGUGCAGAAAUGGCAAGCACUGUUCUCUCGGGAGCACAUGGAUGCUGAAGUCUCCCCAUUAAAGCCCAAGGAAUCUACCCCAUCACCUCCAGUAGGAGGAAUAAGAUUAUGUCUAAACCAGGACAGAAUUAAGUCUCCUAUACUAAUUGUGCCCCCAUUUAUCUCUAUUUUUGCAGAGUAUGGGGGAAAAGGUAGCCAGAGACAGUGUCAUCAAAGCCAUACACGUGUAGCUCACCCAAUGCCCCUUAAGAGUAACUGGGUGCUUCACCUACUCCUUUGAAUCCAAAGUAAUUUGUGAUCUGUGUUCUGUUUUUUAAAAUCAAUUUUGAUUUAGAAUUCAUUUGAUGACUGUUGUAAGGCUGAUCCACGGCUAAAGAAGGAAAUGAUUUUCCUCGGGUGGGUAGGGGAUUGGGGGGGGUGGGUAUGGGGGACCUUUGGGAUAGCAUUGAAAAUGUAAACGAGGAAAAUACCUAAUUUAAAAAAAAAAAAGAAUCUGCCUUCCUCCUCAGAGCUUCAAGUCCAAUGGACAGCAAAAACUCUCUCCUGGCUGCAGGCCUGAGUUCCACGUGGCAGGCUCCCUCCAUUUUCUCUGGCAAUUUCUGACUUGCCACAUAUACACUAAAUCUGCCCCCAUCCAUUUUCUUAGUAGACACAAUGUUCCUCACAUUCUUUCUUUCUUUAGUCAGCAGGUCUGGAUUCUAGUAAAUCUGCCUAAGGCUAUUACCUCAAUGAUAAGCCUGCUGUUUGUCCUGCCUGGCCACUCCUGCCACUUGUCCUCUGGCCACACAAUUCCUCCCCAGAAUUGCUCACACUUCAGAGGUUAUCUAGAGACUUGAAGGUUAAAUGAAACACCCUAGCUUUUAUCUUCUAUCACCUUUCCAAACGGGUGAUCGGGUGAUCUUUGAAUAAAUGACUCUCUCUUCCCUAUCACCACCUGGUGCAGUGGAAAGUGUAAAGAAAGAAACAUUCCUGUCUCUGUAAACCUUUGCUAUGACAGAGAAAGUUGUUCAUAAUAACACCAGCUUAUAAGUCUCUGGGUUUCCAUUAUUUGCAGAGCGCUACCAAACGAGCUUUUAGACGUAAAGCAUUUAGAUUCUACCAUGAUCAUUAAACCAGGAAAAUAAAGAACCUUUUCAAUAUCCACUAUGGCAAUAAAUUCUAGGCAGAAUGCCUCAGAAGUUGGGCAUUGCAUUUACUUUGGAGGGUUUCCUCAUUUGAACUAAAAAAUCCUUUCUC
rnacentral:lncRNA from 1 species